GUGAUGGCCGCCGCCGAGGCAGGAGUUUGGAGCUUCUGCUGUUCCGGACGGCUUGGGGGGCUCUCUGAAUCGUUAGAGGGCCCCCAGCAGCCCCCAGGUUGCCAAGGGCCUGUUAGUUGUGUGUUUGGGAGGUGGAUUCUUGACUGUCUGAGCCACCAGGAAACCCAUGGUAGAGGUGAUGAUGUGCAUUUCCAGGUGUUGCUGUUAACUUGCCUGACAGCUCCUGCUUCCUGCUUCUUGGAAGCCAGUCACUAAGUAAAAGAUACAGUUCUCUGAGAUCUGUAUGUUAUAAGAAGCCCAAGAGCGUGAGAAGAGACCCUGGAAGAUGAGACAGCGAGUAGAGAGGUGGAGGAGCACCACGGAACCAGAAGAAGUGAAGUGUAAGUGAAGCAGCCAUUCUGGAAAUGGAUUCUCCAGCCCCAGCUGCCUUGGCUGUUGCUGUGGAAAUUAGGAGAACCACCCAGUGGUGCCUCUCCCAGUUUUUGACCCCCAAAAUAUUGAGCAAAAUAAAAUAUUUGUUUUCAGCU